GGGGGGGGCAAGCGUUGUUCGGAAUUACUGGGCGUAAAGGGCGCGUAGGCGGUCCCGCAAGUCCUCCGUGAAAUCCCACAGCUCAACUGUGGAAUUGCGAGGGAAACUGCAGGACUUGAGUUCGGGAGAGGAGAGUGGAAUUCCCAGUGUAGCGGUGAAAUGCGUAGAUAUUGGGAGGAACACCGGUGGCGAAGGCGGCUCUCUGGACCGACACUGACGCUGAGGCGCGAAAGCUAGGGGAGCAAACGGGAUUAGAUACCCCGGGUAGUCCUAGCCCUAAACGAUGAGCACUUGGUGUGGCGGGUAUCGACCCCCUGCCGUGCCGAAGCUAACGCAUUAAGUGCUCCGCCUGGGGGAGUACGGUCGCAAGGCUG
rnacentral:rRNA from 1 species